ACGCUGUGAUGAAACAUUUCAUGCCGUCUGACUGCAUUUCUGUGCGGAAACCCAGAGGCUGUUUCUGAGCAA
ensembl:snoRNA